rnacentral:rRNA from 1 species
CCUACGGGAGGCAGCAGUGGGGAAUAUUGGGCAAUGGAGGAAACUCUGACCCAGCAACGCCGCGUGAAUGAUGAAGGUCUUCGGAUUGUAAAGUUCUUUUCUCAGGGAAGAAGAAAGUGACGGUACCUUAGGAAUAAGCCUCGGCUAACUACGUGCCAGCAGCCGCGGUAAUACGUAGGAGGCGAGCGUUAUCCGGAAUGACUGGGCGUAAAGGGGGCGUAGGUGGUUUGGCAAGUUAGUAGCGUAACUCCAAGGCUCAACCUUGGAACUACUACUAAAACUGUUGGACUUGAGUGCAGGAGGGGCCACCGGAAUUCCUAGUGUAGCGGUGGAAUGCGUAGAUAUUAGGAGGAACACCAGGUGCGAAGGCGGGUUGCUAGACUGUAACUGACACUGAGGCACGAAAGCGUGGGGAGCAAACAGGAUUAGAUACCCUAGUAGUC